AUGGGCGGCGCUCGCGCCCUGGCGUGCUUCCUCUGCGUCUCGAUCUCGCGGCGGGGGCGCACGGCGAGGCUGGUGCUGUGGGGUGGCGAGGCGCGGGCCGCCAAGCACGGGACGCAGGCGGGGCAGGUGAUGCUCGACUUCGCGGGGACCGUCGUGUGCCUCGCCGACGGGUUCUACAUCGGCCGGCCCGCGCCGGUGCUGGCCAUCGAGGACCGCCUCGUCGCGGGGGCCACCUACCUCGUGCUCCCCGUCGACCGCCUGCCGCAGGGCUACGACGCGGUCACCGCGGCGUCCCUGGCCGCGCUCUCCUACGACAAGGCCAGCCCGGCGGGGUCCAUUGCCGGGGGACCCAGGAGCCCGUUCGAGUACGUCAAGGGCGAAGACGGACGGAGGGUGAUCAAGGUCACCCCGGAGUUCCUCGUGAAGGCCGUCACUGCGAGACCGGGCUGCGGCGGCGGCGGGGGUGGGGCCGAGGUCGACGGAGAGGGCGCGUGCGGCGGGGCGCUGUGCAGCACGCCGGAGCUGAGGAAGCACUACGAGCAGCUGGUGGGAUCCGGGAGGGGGAGGACAUGGUCGCCGCGGCUGGACACGAUCAAGGAACGCAAGGGGAGGAGGCUCGUGGCGGCGGUGAGCCCCGGAAGGCUGUCGCCGGUGGCAGUCAGGCUGUUAGGGCUGGGCAAAGGAGAAUUCAGGUAG
rnacentral:rRNA from 1 species